GGGGUGUGCCCAGAGCAGGGGGCCUGAAGAAUGGCUUCUCUGUUUAUAACACACCCAAUAGGAAUCUGGUCAUUGUGUGAGGAGGGUUGCAAAAUGGGACCUUACUCUGAGGAAAUGCCCUACACAC
ensembl:snoRNA predicted gene, 22676